rnacentral:rRNA from 1 species
GACGAACGCUGGCGGCGUGCUUAACACAUGCAAGUCGAACGGAAAGGCCCUGCUUUUGUGGGGUGCUCGAGUGGCGAACGGGUGAGUAACACGUGAGUAACCUGCCCUUGACUUUGGGAUAACUUCAGGAAACUGGGGCUAAUACCGGAUAGGAGCUCCUGCUGCAUGGUGGGGGUUGGAAAGUUUCGGCGGUUGGGGAUGGACUCGCGGCUUAUCAGCUUGUUGGUUGGGUAGUGGCUUACCAAGGCUUUGACGGGUAGCCGGCCUGAGAGGGUGACCGGCCACAAUGGGACUGAGAGACGGCCCAGACUCCUACGGGAGGCAGCAGUGGGGAAUAGUGCACAAUGGGCGGAAGCCUGAUGCAGCAACGCCGCGUGCGGGAUGACGGCCUUCGGGUUGUAAACCGCUUUCGCCUGUGACGAAGCGUGAGUGACGGUAAUGGGUAAAGAAGCACCGGCUAACUACGUG